AGAGUUUGAUCCUGGCUCAGGACGAACGCUGGCGGCGUGCCUAAUACAUGCAAGUAGAACGCUGAAGAGAGGAGCUUGCUCUUCUUGGAUGAGUUGCGAACGGGUGAGUAACGCGUAGGUAACCUGCCUUGUAGCGGGGGAUAACUAUUGGAAACGAUAGCUAAUACCGCAUAACAAUGGAUGACACAUGUCAUUUAUUUGAAAGGGGCAAUUGCUCCACUACAAGAUGGACCUGCGUUGUAUUAGCUAGUAGGUGAGGUAAUGGCUCACCUAGGCGACGAUACAUAGCCGACCUGAGAGGGUGAUCGGCCACACUGGGACUGAGACACGGCCCAGACUCCUACGGGAGGCAGCAGUAGGGAAUCUUCGGCAAUGGGGGCAACCCUGACCGAGCAACGCCGCGUGAGUGAAGAAGGUUUUCGGAUCGUAAAGCUCUGUUGUAAGUCAAGAACGGGUGUGAGAGUGGAAAGUUCACACUGUGACGGUAGCUUACCAGAAAGGGACGGCUAACUACGUGCCAGCAGCCGCGGUAAUACGUAGGUCCCGAGCGUUGUCCGGAUUUAUUGGGCGUAAAGCGAGCGCAGGCGGUUUGAUAAGUCUGAAGUUAAAGGCCGUGGCUCAACCAUAGUUCGCUUUGGAAACUGUCAAACUUGAGUGCAGAAGGGGAGAGUGGAAUUCCAUGUGUAGCGGUGAAAUGCGUAGAUAUAUGGAGGAACACCGGUGGCGAAAGCGGCUCUCUGGUCUGUAACUGACGCUGAGGCUCGAAAGCGUGGGGAGCGAACAGGAUUAGAUACCCUGGUAGUCCACGCCGUAAACGAUGAGUGCUAGGUGUUGGAUCCUUUCCGGGAUUCAGUGCCGCAGCUAACGCAUUAAGCACUCCGCCUGGGGA
rnacentral:rRNA from 1 species